GGGUGAGUUUGGGCUGGGGAGUGAGGGCUGCAGGGAAGCUUACCCUUGCUAUAAGCCUGUUGUAAGAGGAAAAUAAAUGCAUAUCUUGGUGAAGGAUAAACAGUCUCGUGUGUGUUUGACUGCCAAACCACCUGAACUAAUCAAGCAGUGAGGUUCAUCAGGCAGUGAUGGAGGCACCCUGUGUCAUCCCUGUAAAAAGAGCAAUUUAAAUCUUGGGCUCCAAUAUGGCUGGUUGGUACCAGUCUUCCAGAGCAAAGCAGCCCCAAAAGCCAGCUACCUGAGGAUUCUCCAGGCACAGAGGACUUUCCUAGGUAAUGUAGAAGUGGAUAGCUGAUUCUUUGCCACCUUCUCUUGGCUUCCCCAAAUUGAGCAGCUGUUAAAAUGAUGCCUUGGAGGUUACUAUAGCUGAGCAUAAUUUAUGGAAACUCUGACACUGCUCUGACUUGCAUUUGGGACCAAACUGGCCCUGAUAUCAGGAAAAACAUAGUCACUUUUGCUUCUUCUUGCUUUCAUGUCCUGCACUGGCACUGGGUGGAACAUGGCCACAUCCGAGGAACUGACCCAAUUUUGGUUGUGUGGUGGUUUUGGUUUUUUUGUUUGUUGUUGUUUAAACUGGAGGAAGAUUCUUCGCCCCGCACCCUACUCCAAGA